CCCCCCCUUUUCACUUUACCCACCGGACUCAUCUUUAUUGGCCAUUCAAGUGGAGCAAAGGAAUAACCUUUUAAAACUCAAGCAAAAUGGGUGUCUGUCUUGUAUCCAGAGGAAACAAAA
rnacentral:snoRNA from 1 species